rnacentral:rRNA from 1 species
ACGAACGCUGGCGGCGCGCUUAACACAUGCAAGUCGAACGGAAAGGCCUGCUUUCCCUUGUGGAUUGCGGGUACUCGAGUGGCGAACGGGUGAGUAACACGUGAGUGAUCUGCCCCCAACUUGGGUAUAAGCCUGGGAAACUGGGUCUAAUUCCCGAUAGGACUGCAGGGUGGUGCCUGUGGUGGAAAACGAUUUUCUAGUGGUUGGGGAUGAGCUCGCGGCCUAUCAGCUUGUUGGUGGGGUAAUGGCCUACCAAGGCGGCGACGGGUAGCCGGCCUGAGAGGGUGGACGGCCACAUUGGGACUGAGAUACGGCCCAGACUCCUACGGGAGGCAGCAGUGGGGAAUAUUGCACAAUGGGCGGAAGCCUGAUGCAGCGACGCCGCGUGGGGGAUGACGGCCUUCGGGUUGUAAACUCCUUUCGACCGCGAGGAAGCCACCUGGUUGGAAGGGUGGUGACGGUAGUGGUAGAAGAAGCACCGGCUAGCUACGUG